rnacentral:lncRNA from 1 species
GGUGCGAGUGGACGUGCCAGUGAAGACGUGGGACGGUUUGGGAGGCUGCCGAACGUGGGGCGGCUACUGUUAACCGCUGCUUAGGGCUAGGUUGGGAUGUAGGGUUUGGUUUAGUGACUUGGGACUUAUUGGGCCAAAUGUAAUUGGGUCGUUGUUUUAUUUUUUUGAUACUUAUUUAUUUGGGCCCGGGCUAAAAUGGCCUAUUACAGCUACCCCUCUUUGCUCGUUGUCGUGUAACGGGAACAGAGCAAAGACUUUAAGAUGGCCAAUUUUGCCUGGGCAUACUGGACCUUAGCGCUCUUCAAGUAGCCUCAUCCCAACCUACUGCGUCUUCAGGGGUAUAGGAAUCGGUGCCUCAAUCCACUCCAUUGCAACAUCAAGGAGGUAGGACUUGUACCUUGUAGCUUCUUAAAAGAACAAAAUUUGCUAUCUUUAGUCUGUUCCACUGCAACUUCAGGGAGAUAAAACUGGAUGUGACCUGCUCUCUGCAACCUCAGAAAGAUAAGAUCUGGAUGUUAAUCCGCUCCACGCAACCUCAGAGAGAUAGGAUUAGAUCUUCAGUCUGCUCCACUGCAACUUCAGGGAGAUAGGAUUGGUUUCUUCUGUCUGCUCUACUGUAACUUUAGAGAAAUAAGACUGGAUGCGAUUUGCUCUCUGUAACCUCAGAGAGAUAAGAUCCGUAUGUCAAUCCGCUCCACGCAACCUCAGGGAGAUAGGAUUAGAUCUUCAGUCUGCUCCACUGCAACUUCAGGGAGAUAGGAUUGGUUUCUUCUGUCUGCUCUACUGCAACUUCAGGGAGAUAGGACUGAAUGCGAUCUGCUCUCUGCAACCUCAGAAAGAUAAGAUCUGGUUGUUAAUUCGCUCCACUGCAACUUCAGGGAAAUAUGAUUGGUUUCUUCUGUCUGCUCCACUGCAACUUCAGGGAGAUAAGACUGAAUGCGAUCUGCUCUCUGCAACCUCAGAAAGAUAAGAUCUGGAUGUUAAUCCGCUCUACUGCAACUUCAGGAAGAUAGGAUUAGUUUCUUCUGUCUGCUCCACUGCAACUUCAGGGGGAUAAGACUGAAUGCGAUCUGCUCUCUGCAACCUCAGAAAGAUAAGAUCUGGAUGUUAAUCCGCUCCACUGCAACUUUAGGGAGAUAGGAUUGGUUUCUUCUGUCUGUUCCACUGCAACUUCAGGGAGAUAAGACUGAAUGCGAUCUGCUCUCUGCAACCUCAGAAAGAUAAGAUCUGGAUGUUAAUCCGCUCCACUGCAACUUCAGGAAGAUAGGAUUAGUUUCUUCUGUCUGCUCCACUGCAACUUCAGGGAGAUAAGACUUGAUGUGAUCUGCUCUCUGCAACCUCAGAGAGAUAAGAUCCGUAUGCCAAUCCGCUCCACUGCAACCUCAGGGAGAUAGGAUUAGAUCUUCAGUUUGCUCCACUGCAACUUCAGGGAGAUAGGAUUGGUUUCUUCAGUUUGUUCUCUGGGGAACAUGACCUGUAUAAUUCAUAUUUAUGAACCUAAUUAUGCCUAAUAAUUAGGAUAUCAUGAUCAGAAUGAAUCACAUGCUCCUAACUAGACAUGUAUGAAUGACAUUUGAAUGGAUGUAGAAUGUCAUUUUAUUGAGAAUGAUCUUUUUUUAUCACUUAGAUUGUCUUUACUUAAAGUUUAUUAAGGCUUUAUCACCGACGUACUACAACGUCCUCUUGUUCAGCUAGCAUCUCUGAAGCAACACUUAAUCAAACAAACCCCAUUGUAAACUUUAAAGUUUAAUCCACAUGGACACAUAAAUUUGUAUCAUCUUUUCACUAUAACCCAAGGGUAGAAAAAAAUCUGGCCUCUCGAUCUUCUCUUAUCGUAAGGUGAAGCACUUUGGUCCUUUAUACCGUUCUCAAGGUGUCAUACCAAAUGCCUAUGCACAAAUGAAGGAUUUCUUUCUCUGAGGAAACCUCUUCUUAUUGCAAUGUGAUCAUUGAUUGCUUAUUCAUUGACGCUUUGUCACCAACACGACAUCUUGUCACUUUGUUCAAUCAAUAUUUUGACAACAAAAUCUGAAGGGAUAAUCUCAAUUUAGACCUUUCCUUAUCAAAUUUCCAACCUUUAAACCUAGCGCGUUCUAAAAAAUAGUCCUGUUUUAGGUUACUGCAUUAUUUAGAAACUUCUAGAGCAAUAUGCAAAACCUCCAUUGUGAAAGUUUUAUUAGUCCAUUGAUCAUUAUUCUAAUGCAACACUUUUGCAAAAAGAACAAAAUAAAAGAUAAAAUAGAAUUGGUUUGAGAACAUAGCUUGAAAUGAACAUAUUAUCAAGAAUAUUAAGAAUACAAGAGGAAUUGACUCGUAUCUUGACAAAGAAUGAAGUAUUCCAAGAACAGGCAAUUCAAUAUAAAUAGUAUGAAAACUAGGUGCCCCAGAUAUCGCAGCUUGAACUUCUCUGUACAAACUUCCUGAAGACCAUUCUGAGUUUGACAUGUGCUUAGGAGAUCUACAAUACUCUGUCGAUGCUCCAAAAUGUCGCGUACCCUUUCCUGCUGAUUCAGGCAUAGCAAGAUCGCCACAUGCCCCAAUCUGAUCAGAAUUUGAGCUACUUUGAUUACCUCAUGCCCCAUUUUGAUCAAAAUUUGAGCUGCCCUUUUUGGGUUUUCAACUCAAAUCCCCUUUGGUCUAAGGCACCCUUUGCGGGUUUUCACCUUAGCCUCUCCACUUUUACUUUUUCCAUUUUUCAUUUUUCAUUUUCAUUUUCAUUUUUUUCACAUCUCAUCUCUUUUUUUUUUGUGACUCAAAAUGCCCUUUGCGGAUUUUUACCUAGGCCCUCUCCUUCUUUAAGCGAAGUAUUUCUUGACUGAAUCUGAGUUAAACAAAUUUUUACUAUCCAUCUCACUCAAGAUCAGUGCUCCUCCGGAAAAGGUCUUCUUUACAACCUAAGGACCUUCCCAAUUUGACACUCAUUUUUCUCUGAAAUCCUUUUGUAGAGGAAGGAUUUUUCAAUACCAGGUCUCUCUCGUGGAAUUCUCUGGGACGAACCUUUUUGUUGUAAGUUCGCAUCAUCCAUUUUUGGUACAUCUGAUCAUGACGAAUAGCUUUUAACCGAUUUCCUUCAAUUAAGUUCAACUAAUCGUAUCGAGAUGUGAUCUUCAUCCUACUUCAGCUCAGCCAAUACCUGGAGAAAAAUAUUUUCAACUUCAAUGGAAAAAUCGUGAUAAGCUAAAGGGAAAAACAUUGCCCCGGUAGAGGUUCUUUUUGUUUUUAUUUUUUGUUCUUCUUCUUUUUCUUUCUUUCUUUUUUUUUGAAUUGAAUCUGCACUCAUAGUAUUAGGCAAGUGCUGGUCAUCCCUUUCAAUCAGAAUCAAUAUUAUUCCAGAUAAGGUCUUCCCCAAAAGAUCUUCUAUUUUCAUUUUGUAUGCGAAAGAUCUUCUUUGGCAUCAAGUUUCUCUUAUAGAGCCUUUUGGAGAGAAAUGUAACUAUGCCGAGAAAAUUUUAGAUCUUCCGCUUCAAUUAGGAUGAAAUCCAGCAAAAAUACGGAAAAGUGACAACUUGACUUCAAUGGGAUAAGCUAGAGAAGAAGGUAUUGCCCCGGCAAAGAAAUCUAACUGCAUCAUUCAUGAUGUGAAUCUUGAACAUACUGCAAAUUUUUAACGUUCUGCUAUUGCUCAUAUUACAAUAUCAGUGCUUAACUUGGGCAUAUCCUGGUAUAACCAUACGAAGACAUCUUUGAACUCUUGAAGUAGCUUAAUAAGGUCUUGUUUCAUUUAUCUAGUUAUGCAUGUUCUCUUAAAGUCACAAUCUCCAUUGUCUCUUCAAGAGGUAAAAUUUGUUCUCUUCUUGCUCUACCAUCCUCAACAAGUCUGGAGAUAGGCUACGAUCUAUGUCAUCUUCAAAUCAUGAGAUCCCUCUAAACACAUGUCUUGCUCAAAAGGAGAUUUUAAAUCUGUAGCAGUGUCAUUCAAGUCAUUGAUAUCUGGGGGCCCAUAAUAAAUACCAAAGAAUAUACAAAAGAAUGUAUAAAUUUAUGAAGAACUAUCUGUACAAUAUGAUUAUGAAUGAAUGAAUGAUGUGAAAGAAAAUCCAAAAGAAUGAAAGAAUAAUUAUUCAGACAGACUGAAAGAAUAUUGGUUCAAAAAAUGAUCGCAAGGAUGCAUUUCAUUAAAAUAACGAUAUUUAGACAUGAGCCUACUUCACAAAGGAAUUCUUAUUGCCUCUAGGCUAAAAGCAAUAAGUGUGUUUUGAACAUUGCUCUAAAUAAGCCCUAAAUACUACAAAUAUUUCUUCUGCAGUUAGAUUGCUUAAAACACUCCUAGGUUUACAAAGGUGGAUAUCUAACAAGGUCCCUUUUCGAUUAUGUCUUUAUCUAUGGCAUUGAUGUGAACACCUCUCAACACUUCUUCAUGCAUCACAUUCACCCUAUUAUCAAAUGUGAUUGGGUAGCGAAUUUUCUACACUGGAUUAAACCUCAAAUUUGACAAUGCCCAUAUUGAUGAGCUUUUCGACCAGCUUCUUGAAGGCAAUACAAUUAUCUAUUGAGUGCCCCGUAAUUCCCGCGUGGUACUCACAUUGCGCGUUCGCAUCAUACCACUUAGGAUACGGAGGUUGUGGAGGUUUUAAGUAAUGAGGAGCAACAACAUGCUCAUCGAACAAGCCUUGAUACAGCUCCUUAUAGGACAUCGGAAUUGGUAUGAACUGGAGCUUCUCAGUACCUGGCUUCACACCUGAUUCUUGUCUUGAUGAACCCUGCUGAUUAGUAACCACCUUUCCUGGCUGAUUCACCGUAAUUGAUUUGCUGGUCUGAUAUUGGGGUCGGAUGUUAACAAUUACCCUUUGUGGAUAUGCAUUUGGUUGUGCUUGGAUAUUUGUUGGGGUAAAACUUGGAGGAUUCGUAGGGUAUUCAUUAUUAUCCCUAAAGUGGACCGCUGGGCUUUUCUUUCUUUCUAACCCUCCAGCCAAUAACUGGGUUAAUUGGCACAUUAUAUUUUUUUGGAAUUCGAACAACUGAUCCCUCAUAUCUUGUUGAAAUUUGGUUAAUUGCUCAUGCAUCUGUAUUUGUAUUUGCUCUAAUUUCUCCAACCUUUGGUCCAUUUCUCUAGUUUUUGCUUGAGUUCCGUAAGGGUGUUGGGUUGGCUGGUUGGUUUCCAGGUUAACUGAGGAAUGAUUUUAAUUAAUCAGAACCCUUUGAUAAUUUACUAAUGUAUGCAAUGCGAUGAAAAUGCAAUGCAGAAAAGGCAUUGUUUCUAAUUUCAAUUACUUUCAGAAAAACUUUAUUGCAAAAUAAAUCUCUUUACAUAGAAUGGGCGACAAAUAUGGCUUUGCCCUAAUACUUAAGACCUUGAUCUUUUUAAGCAACGACGCUAACUCUUGUCCUCGAUCCGACUCUAGCUCGUACUUUACGCUCAACGUAUCGGCUUGUACCGCCAAAGUUUGCAAGUAAUCUGCCACUUCACGAAUCUGCACCACAGCUUCUCCCAUAACGUAAUCCCUAUUUCUGACUUGAUCCUGGAAAUAAUGAAGUUACUCAUUUUGACGACCUUCUUUUACCUCUAGCUGCUCAAUUCGAACCUCACAACUCCGCAAUGCUGCUUCUAACUCUUCUAUUUUACCCUUCAUCUCUUCGAUCUUACCGAGACUUGCUUUCAGCUCUAAUACAGAAUUUCGACUUCUAUGUUGACGAAGAGACCCUUCUAACUCAACUACUCUGUCUUUUAAUUUUCCUUUUUCCUUUUGACUCUCUGAUAAGCUCUUCUCCAAGGCUUCAUUUUGUGCUUGUACCUCUUGAAAUUUCCUUCCUCACUGGUCUGACUUGUUUCUUUCCUCUCGAAUUUCUUCACGCCACUGCUCUGAAGUCUUUCCCAGCCCGGCAGUUCUCAUGGACAGACGCAGCUUCUUGUAAUCAGUCUUCAAGCUAUCUAACUCCUCUUCCGCCUUGUUCUUCCCCUUUCUUAGUUUAUCAGCCUCGAGCUUCUGAACAUCCGCAUCUAGUUUCAAACUCACUUUCUCUUCUUCCAUCUGCUCGAUUUUCUUCUCUAAUUCUGUGCUUCUUCUCUCAAAAUCAUGCCUUAUAAUUUCCAGCUCAGUAGGGACAACACGCAAAUACUCCUCUAUUGGCUGACUAUCUUCUGAACCAGGCCCAGGAAUGUUAUCGUUAAUCCUCUUAGCCCACCAUUCGCCAUACUCGAGAGUUGUCAUCGGACCCACAACUAAUCCCUUCAUUCGGUGAGUCUGAUUCCAUGCACUGACCAUCUCACAAACUCUCCUCUUGUAACCAUCGCCCCUAUACGAGAACUCACACUCGGCCAAUCCCUGAGUUGCAGGCACGAACUGUCUUGAUCUGUAUUGCCUAAGUACUAGCAAUGGUGCAUAACUAACGGCUCCUCAAAUCUCAAUCAAAGGAACCCAAUCAAAAUCCCCACAUCGAUAUAGGAUCUCACCUGGAAGCAACCAUGGGGCUCUCCACUCAAUAUCGCCUUCCUGUAAAUUUUGAAAAAUAGCCAUCCACUUCUCUUCCGAGAUGUCGUCCCUCCUCAGUGUAGCCACUAUCUUUUUCAAUGGUGAAUAAUUGUCAGAGAAGACCCGAUAUGAAACCUUAUCAACCUUCCAAAAGUGAUUAUGGAACUAUGCAAGUAAGAGCUGCGCACAUCUAAUGAACCUACCCUCUCCUGCUCUCCGGUAUGCAUUCAGUGACCAGAAGGUUUCUGCCAAAAUUGCUGGGACUGGUGUAACUCUCUUUUCAAGCCGAUCAAAUAAGUCGGUGACUGCCUCGUCAACAUGCCCCAAAGUCUUAGGGAACAUAACCAAACCAUAUAUACUUAAAGCAAAGACAUCUACCUUCUUCCUUGCAUCUGGGUGCGCUAGGAUGAGAUCCUUCAAAAUUUUCCAGGGAAUACACUUGCCAUCUCCUUUUUGCUUGAUCCGAGCCGUGACCCACUGCUCACUCAUCCCCGUUAUAUUCAUCAACCUCUUCAAAAAGGUCGGUGCAUUUACAGCCUUCGAAUAAACCUUAUCCACUUGAAACUUCGAACACCGAAGUAAAGCCGUGUAUUCUUCUACUAUAGGCACCAAAUCAACCCUCCCAAACGUGAAACAACUAUAAGCGGGGUUCCAAAAUUGUGCAAGAGCCCGAAAGAGAUGCUUAUCCACCUUCAUAUCAAGCAAAUAAGGCAAAACCUCAUAAUUUGAAAAGAAUAACUGUCUAACCUCAUCAUUCCAUUGAUCCCAAAUCUCCUUCAACUCCUGCAAGUUGUUUGGCUUACGCUGACACGGGUGACGUCCCACAAUUCAGAUAUGUACCCCUCGGCCAAGCUAUCACCUUUCUCGCGCUGUGUGAUUUCAGCCCAAGUUCGGACAGCCGCAUUAUCUUCCACGCUAUCAAGAAACCCAUUUCCCAUGAUAAGCCUUCUAUCUAGCAAUCGAAUACGAACCAACGCCUUCUAAAAUGAAAUGCCAUGUGAUAGUAAUGCCAUGCAAUCAGAGUAAAACAUAAAAAGUCAGUAACAAUCAAACAUAAUACAACCAAAAAUAAUAAAAACUCCUAAUUAGGCAUUUACUAAGGUUAAGAGUAAUUCUACCUAAGGUGAGUUCCUAAAGGGUCACUAUAUGAGGUUUGGCUUCUAGAGCAAAGGUACCCGAACCAGCAGAUUCCUCGAUCCUCACCCAUUAUAGGCUCAUAUAGACCGAGUUCGGUUCAGGGGAAUACAUUUCCCUAUAGCUGUACGGAGAUGAAAAUCUCACGAAGACAUAGGUGAUGUAUCCCGAAAUUGAUCCACUAUCCUGCACGGAGGUGAAAACCUCACGAAGGAGUAGCUUCUCACUCCCACUUAGAAGGGUAAAAUCGUCCAUGCAAUGUAAAAUGCAAAUAAACUAAAAGACUUAGAUCAAUUAAACAAACAUAUCAUGAUAAGAAUCAAUGAAUGCAAAGGAGGAAAUCGUGAUUUAAAACAAAUUUGAAACCUUUUCGACAAAAAGACAAAAGCUAAUCAAUUUAUGGCUCGACUCUCGAAAGUCCCCAGCGGAGUCGCCAAGCUGUCGAAACCAUUUUUUUGAAAACAAAAAUUUAGUUGUCGACUUUAAAAAAACAAAAAUUGGAGUCGCCACCGAUUCUUUAUUGAGGUGUGAUCGGCUCACCUUAAAAACGACUCUGGUCUACGAAAUUUGAGAAAACGAGUUCGGGAGUCAGUUACGCACGAGGAAGGGUUAGCACCCCCGUAACGCCCAAAAAUUGGUACCAAAUUGAUUAUCUAAUGUCUUGGUGUCGAAAAUUAAAAAGAUUUUGUUAAACUCAAAUGUUGAAAUCCGAAAAGGAUAACCAAUUAUUCAAGUCAUGCGAAGAAAUUGAGACCCAAUACGUUAGGGUACAAUUUCUCAAAAUCCCCGAAUUUUGAAUAUCACUUUUCAAUUAUUUUUUAAAGAAAAUCUUCAUUUCGAGAAAAUAAUAUGUCAUGCCCAAUGCGUUAAGGCAUAACAUAUUGAAUUCCCGAAAAUAAUUUUUGUAUAUAAAUUUUAAAUAAUGAAUAUUCUCGGUUAUUCGGAAUUAACGAAGAAAAUCAGAACCCAAUACGUUAGGGCUCAAUUUUCCUCGAAAAUUCCUAACUUUGAAUAUCGUUUUUUAUUUUGAAAAUCUUUAAAUCAUAAAAGAAAUGUUUUGACAAAAUCAAAAUGUAUUUAAAAAAAGGUACUAAAAUGUCAAUGCAAUACGAAAUGAAUAUUUUAAACCUAAACUAUACAUGUAUAUGGUAUAUAUAAAAAUGAUAUAUAAGUGGAUUCUACUAGUAUGUAUAUGACCAUGAAAUAAAUAUAAAAAAAAUGCAUAAUUAUUAUAAAAUGUUAGUGCAUACAUAUAUAUGAAUACAAAAGUCAUGAAAAUAAAAUAAUAAUAAAAUACAUACAAAAUAUAUUCGUACGUUUAAAAAAAUAAUAAAAGUAUAAUAUAUUAAUAAAUUAUGAAAAUAUGAAAAGAUAACAUACGAACAUAUAUUUAUAAUAAUUUGAAUAAUGUAAGAACAUGUAUAUUUUAAAAGAAAAAUAUAUAGGAUUAUAAAAAUAUGAAAAAAAUUUAUAAAUAUCAUAAAAUAAUAAUGCAUGUGCGAUAUAUACAAAUUAUAAAAAAUAAAAUGGUAUAAUAAUAAAAUAUAUGAACUAUAUAUAUAUUUAAAACAUUUAUAAUAUACAUAUAUAUAUUAACAUACAUAUAUAUGCGCACCUGUACAUACAAUAAUAAUAUAAUAAUAAUUAUAAUAAUAAACAAUAAAAACAACAUAACAAAAAUAAGCUAAUAAAAAAAAUAAAAAAUAAAAAUUUAAGGACCAAAUUAAAAUGUCAAGCAGAAGUUGAGAGCCGAAUUUUGAAAAUAAAAACAAGAAAAGGAGUGAGCUAAAACAGGUGCAAUAGAUAAGGAACCAAAAGAGAAAUUUUCCAACCCGCCCAGUAACACUGCACACUGUUGGAUUAAAUUAAAACAUUAAUAAAGUUUUAUGGAAAAAUUUGAAAAUAAUAAAGAAAUAAGAAAAAAUGAUUUUAAAAACAUGAAGGACCUAAAUCGUAAAUAACCCAUCUACUUAAAACACGCGGAUCUGAUCGGGUUUCUGGGUCGGGUCACGCAAGCAUUCGAGUACACCAAAUACGGCGCCGUUUUAAAAUCAAUUAAAAAAAAACCUUUUUCAAACCCUAAAAACCAUUUUUCUUUCUUUGUCAUUGUGCCGUAUCUCCUCCCCCAAAACUCUUCCCCUGUUUCGAUUGUAAUGAAACAAAGGGAUCCAACAACACCACGCUGGUAAGCUUUACUCCCCUUCUUUAAUCUCUUUUGUUUUAGAAAGCAAAAGAAAAACAAAAGUAAAAUGAAAAUGGUAAAAGAACAGAAGAAAAGAACAACAAGCCGUCACCUUCAAAAUUAUCUUUUAUUUCUCUUGUAUUUUCUUUUUUAAUUUUUUUCUCAAAAAUUUGCUAACCCUUUUUACAGAUUCCAUCUCCCUUUUUAUAACCCCCAAAUCCCUUUCUAUUUUGCUGUGUGUAUCAUCCUCUUCCUGUUAUUUGCGGUUUGCAGAUAUGUGGGCGUGGUGCGAGUGGACGUGCCAGUGAAGACGUGGGACGGUUUGGGAGGCUGCCGAACGUGGGGCGGCUACUGUUAACCGCUGCUUAGGGCUAGGUUGGGAUGUAGGGUUUGGUUUAGUGACUUGGGCCUUAUUGGGCCAAAUGUAAUUGGGUCGUUGUUUUAUUUUUUUGAUACUUAUUUAUUUGGGCCCGGGCUAAAAUGGCCUAUUACAGCUCAAAUUUAUCAUACGAAAAUAUCUUAUUUUUUAUUAUUUUGCUUAAAAAAAUUUCAAAUAUAUUUUGUUUUAAAUUAUUGUGUUCUAAUAUGAAAAUAGUUAUAUUAUACAAUAUUUUAAUUUAACAUUAUUAAUUUUUUUAAUUUAACUCAAAUAGUUUCACUCAAUCCAAUAUAGCGCUCAGCCCUAAUUCGAGUUAUCCAAAAAUUCAAAUAAAAAAAGAUAAAACUAUGCCGUUUUGAUAAAUGUUUAUUUUUUUCUUAAGUUAAAA